UGUGACCAGAUUGUCUAUGACCAAUCCCAAGUAUUUGUAACUGCAUGUGGUCAAAUCACUGACAUGUGUUAUCUGUGACUAAUUCUGACCAAAUUUGUAUUUAGUGUGACUAUCUGUGACCAUAUUAGUCCAAAUUGUGACUCUCUAUUAAUCUUGUCACAAACAGUAACAAUAACAACAGAAUUGGUCACAUCCGAUCACAAUAAACACAUUAUUGAUCACAGAUGGUCACCAUAAACAAAUCUGCAACAUCAAAGACCAACACCACAAUGCACCACAACUACACCUUCAACUCAACUCUACAUUCACCUCAAAUCCACAACAACAAUCACUACCACCAUCACUUCCACCAAUACCUUCAAUAAACACCAACCGCUAGCAUCGUAACACCUACAGAACCAACAACAACAGAACCACCCCACAAAUUAGAAAAUCACCAAUAGUACUGCCACCACCAAAAAAUCAUCACAUCUCUAAACA
rnacentral:lncRNA from 1 species